UUUAUGUUCAGAUGGGAGACAUCUGAAUAUAUAGAUAUUGUUGGGCCCAUAAUACUGGAAACAGCGUGAAUUAUUUGUGGCAUAAAUAUAAUGAUGUAUCAACCGGAAGUGGAUCAUCCUGCCGCGUCGCGAUGGAAGGUCACGUAAAACGCGCAUGGUGAAAACUUUCGUUUUAUUUUGUAUGAAAAUAAACGAGUCAACACAAUGAGUCAACACAAACUUUCCGCAAGGAAGCGACUUACGAAGCCAAUUCUUUUCGGAACACUGAUAGUUGGACUAGCUACUGCUUUCUUCAACAGGCACCGGUUCUUGGAGGACUUGGAGGACAUAAAAGCUGAGGAGCGGGCCAAGAACUAUGCCCGGAAGAUGGAGAUCUUGGAGAGGAGGCACAAACAGAUCCAGGAGGCUGAGGAGAAGCGGAGAAGUGGGAGUGGCUGAGAAGCAGGAGCCCGUGGGGGCUUGGAUGUUGGGCUCCUACCCAGCAGUUGACUUGGAUUUAAACCAUCACCCAGGACUAGGCAAUGAAGGCCACAAUUAAACGAUCACGCUCAACUUUGUUUGAAACAUCUGGAGCAUUCUAGUGCUCUAGUUGAGACCUUGUUGAUGUUGGCAUGUGCUUGUAUUCAAGACAAACAAGAAUGUAUCGAUUUCA